GGAGGAUUACUUUUUUAGGGUACCUAAUUUGCUUCAGUUGGUUUGGUAUCCAGCCUUGAUUGAUUCACAAUUUCCUUUCAUCUUUAUUGCAAAAAAAUGGAUUUCCCUAGAAUUGCAGGUAAUCUGGCUAAACAAAAUAUUGGAAAUUGCUUGGAUGCUUCGUCUUAUGGAGAACCGUACGUUUAGAGAGUCAACAAAAUAUCAUGUCAAGUUGGAAGAAUGAGCAAGAAAAUAUUGCAUUGAUUUUUCUAAUUUGUAUUUAUAUAUUAUGAGUAAACGAGCAAGCUCAAUGCAAGAAACCGGUAACAAACCUAGAAAUUGCUCCUUUUAAUGUUGAUAUUGUCGAUAAUCGGUUAUCUGACAUGGUAUCAGAACCUCUAUGAUCAAGUGGUCUAGAAUUCG
rnacentral:lncRNA from 1 species